AGUGAACGCUGGCGGCAGGCCUAACACAUGCAAGUCGAGCGGCAGCGGGUCCCCGCGAGGGGAUGCCGGCGAGCGGCGGACGGGUGAGGAACACAUCGGAAUCUGCCUGGUUGUGGGGGAUAACGUAGGGAAACUUACGCUAAUACCGCAUGCGACCCUGAGUCGACGGACUGGGGGUGAAAGUGAGGGACCUUCGGGCCUCACGCGACCAGAUGAGCCGAUGUCGGAUUAGCUAGUUGGCGGGGUAACGGCCCGCCAAGGCGACGAUCCGUAGCUGGUCUGAGAGGAUGAUCAGCCACACUGGGACUGAGACACGGCCCAGACUCCUACGGGAGGCAGCAGUGGGAAUCUUGGACAAUGGGCGCAAGCCUGAUCCAGCCAUG
rnacentral:rRNA from 1 species